rnacentral:sRNA from 1 species
UGUUGGUAACAGCCCCUCCUAACCCUGA